GUCCACGCUGUAAACGAUGGGCACUAGGUGUCUGGGGUAUUGACCCCCUGGGUGCCGCAGCUAACGCAUUAAGUGCCCCGCCUGGGGAGUACGGCCGCAAGGUUAAAACUCAAAGGAAUUGACGGGGGCCCGCACAAGCGGUGGAGCAUGUGGUUCAAUUCGACGCAACGCGAAGAACCUUACCUGGGCUAGACAACGGCGGACGAUCUUAGAGAUAAGAUUUUCCCUUCGGGGACCACCGGUUCAGGUGCUGCAUGGCUGUCGU
rnacentral:rRNA from 1 species